UUGAUGAAUACGGGAGAGAGUUCGUAAUGAACCGCCGAAGGAAAAAGGGACGAUGAUCCGCCAAUCACGUCGCGAAAUUCUCAGGCAAAGGGACCGUAUUUUGACA
rnacentral:ncRNA from 2 species